UACGAAGGGGGCUAGCGUUGCCCGGAAUCACUGGGCGUAAAGCGCACGUAGGCGGACUCUUAAGUCGGUGGUGAAAUCCUGGAGCUCAACUCCAGAACUGCCUUCGAUACUGGGAGUCUUGAGUCCGGGAGAGGUGAGUGGAACUGCGAGUGUAGAGGUGAAAUUCGUAGAUAUUCGCAAGAACACCAGUGGCGAAGGCGGCUCACUGGCCCGGUACUGACGCUGAGGUGCGAAAGCGUGGGGAGCAAACAGG
rnacentral:rRNA from 1 species